AGACAAUAGAUACCCAGGUAGUCCACGCCGUAAACGAUGAAUGUUAGCCGUCGGGCAGUUUACUGUUCGGUGGCGCAGCUAAACGCAUUAAACAUUCCGCCUGGGGAGUACGGUCGCAAGAUUAAAACUCAAAGGAAUUGACGGGGGCCCGGCACAAGCGGUGGAGCAUGUGGUUUAAAUUACCGAACGCAACGCGCAGAACCUUACCAGCCCUUCGACAUCCCGACUCGCGGAUUACAGAGAUGUUUUCCUUUCAGUUCGGUCUGGAUCGGAGGACAGGUGCUGCAUGGCUGUCGUCAGCUCGUGUCGUGAGAUGUUGGGUUUAAGUUCCCGCAACGAGCGCAACCCUCGCCCUUACGUUGCCAGCAUUUGGUUGGGCACUCUAAGGGGACUGCCGGUGAUAAACCCGAGAGGAAGGUGGGGAUGACGUCAAGUCCUCAUGGCCCUUACGGGCUGGGCUACACACGUGCUACAAUGGUGGUGACAGUGGGCAGCGAGACCGCGA
rnacentral:rRNA from 1 species